ensembl:lncRNA
CAAUAAAAAAAAAAAAGUAACAAUGUGAUUUUGAUUCAACAUCUUGCUUGCACUCUCAGUGCAACACAACAACAACUGACUUAAAGGCAUACUCCAUCCCAAAAUGGAAAUUGUCAUUAUUCACUUACCCCCAUGUCGUUCCAAACCCGUAAAAGUUUUGUUUGUCUUCGGAACACAAUUUAAGAUAUUUUGGAUGAAAAAAGGGAGUCUUGAGACUAUCCCAGUAUUCCCGUCGCUUCAUAACUUAAUUAAAAAUCUAUUUAAUUGCAAAUUUAGUUUCCCACCCACACCAACACAGAGAGAAAGACACAAGAAAUCUCAAAUGGCGUUUUAUUACAUUAAAAGCUAAGCCUUUUAAAAAAAAAACAAAUAUCCAAAUCACAAUCUCCUCCUCAACCCAGCAGAGACAAUAAAACCAUAACUUGUCCAAUAUUCUGCCCAGGGUAAUACCAAAGUCCGGUCUGAAAUCAGCCCAGUGAUUCCCCUGCCACUGGUAAAAAUAAAUGUCUGUUUCAGUAGGAUCUCAAAUGACCGGCUUCAACCGAAUCCAGGACCAGGAUCUCCACAGCGCCGCCCCGCGUCUGUCAGUGGGAAAUCAGAAAAAGUAAUUGGGUAGUUUGCACGUAGCCGACAACUGCCAAAACUCAGAUGAAUGGAAUAACAACUUUCCUUUCCUAUACUUCAAAUGGACACAUCAGCAAUACUAUCGUGUCUGCCACUCUGCCGUCGGCUCCCCCGAAUCUGUCACCUUUACAGAGAUGAACAACUAAGAACGACUCCUUUAACACAAUGCUAAGCACACACACACGCGUGCAUUAGCGUGGAAAAAAGAAAGAAUCACUUUCCUUCAAUCGGGGGUUCGUGAGCGUUGACACUGCAGAAUCCGAGAUUCCGUUCUACCAGCGUACAGGAGAUCCAGUCAGCAACAACACAGAGCGGCGAGAUCAGUGAGCGCCCACCCGCUUCAGUACACGGCUCGUUCCUCCGUCCAGAGCGUUCCCCCGUCUAUGGGACAGUCUCAAGCCGAUUUUCAUCCAAAAUAUCUUAAAAUUGUGUUCCGAAGACGAACAAAGCUUUUACGGAUUUGGAACGACAUGGGGGUAAGUGAUUAAUGACAAAAUUUUCAUUUUGCAGUGGAGUAACCCUUUAAAGCCAC